GGAGGGUGCAAGCGUUAAUCGGAAUUACUGGGCGUAAAGGGCGCGUAGGCGGACGCGUAAGUCAGAUGUGAAAGCCCUGGGCUUAACCUGGGAAUUGCAUAUGAAACUGCGAGUCUAGAGUGAAGUAGAGGGUGGCGGAAUUUCCGGUGUAGCGGUGAAAUGCGUAGAUAUCGGAAGGAACACCAGUGGCGAAGGCGGCCACCUGGACUUUUACUGAUGCUGAGGCGCGAAAGCGUGGGUAGCGAACAGGAUUAGAUACCCUGGUAGUCCACGCUGUAAACGAUGAGGACUAGCUGUUGGUGGCGAUUGAGCUGUCAGUAGCGCAGCAAACGCGUUAAGUUCUCCGCCUGGGGAGUACGGCCGCAAGGCU
rnacentral:rRNA from 1 species